UACGAACCGUCCAAACGUUAUUCGGAUUUACUGGGCUUAAAGGGUGCGUAGGCGGCCCAGAAAGUUGGGUGUGAAAGCCCUCGGCUUAACCGAGGAAUUGCGCCCAAAACUACUGGGCUUGAGGAAGAUAGAGGUGAGCGGAACUUAGGGUGGAGCGGUGAAAUGCGUUGAUAUCCUAAGGAACACCUGUGGCGAAAGCGGCUCACUGGGUCUUUUCUGACGCUGAGGCACGAAAGCCAGGGGAGCGAACGGG
rnacentral:rRNA from 1 species